rnacentral:rRNA from 1 species
CAGCAGCCGCGGUAAUACAGAGGGUGCGUGCGUUAAUCGGAUUUACUGGGCGUAAAGCGUGCGUAAGCGGCUUCUUAAGUCGGAUGUGAAAUCCCUGAGCUUAACUUAGGAAUUGCAUUUGAUACUGGGAAGCUAGAGUAUGGGAGAGGAUGGUAGAAUUCCAGGUGUAGCGGUGAAAUGCGUAGAGAUCUGGAGGAAUACCGAUGGCGAAGGCAGCCAUCUGGCCUAAUACUGACGCUGAGGUACGAAAGCAUGGGGAGCAAACAGGAUUAGAUACCCGUGUAGUCCCUGUCUCUUAUAC